AUAAUGACUCUCGACAACGGAUAUCUCGGCUCUCGCAUCGAUGAAGAACGUAGCAAAAUGCGAUACUUGGUGUGAAUUGCAGAAUCCCGUGAACCAUCGAGUUUUUGAACGCAAGUUGCGCCUAAAGCCAUUAGGUUGAGGGCACGUCUGCCUGGGCGUCUCGC
rnacentral:rRNA from 1 species